AAAUUUUUUAUUGACUUUUUCGAAGUAAAUCGACCUGCUUUUCUAGAUGGUGUUAUAUAACAGUGACCUAAAGUGACCUACAAAUUUCGGCAGAGGGAGGUGUCAAUCUGUGCCUAUUCUAACUCUUCUAAGCAGAUACUGUAAUAGGUGCAAAAAUCGGUUCUGAUGAUGAUUUUAGUGAAAAGAGCAAUGUAAUUGAAAUAAACAGCUCCAAUUAUAAUUCUUUUUGUUAAUAAUCAUUGAAAUGAUUUCUUAAAAUUGAAAAGGUUGACAGAAGUAUAGUUGGGGUGCAUAUUAUAGUGCGCCUUUAAAAGCUAUUGUAUCCUCCAUUCUGUGCUUAAAGCCCACUGGUAAGUCUUAAUUCAUCAAGGAACUUUUAGGUUCAAAUUCGGUAUCAUUAACAAAUUGCAGAGGAAUAAAAAUUAACUAUUCACUGGUACUACAAUCUCCUGUACUUUUUAAUUGGAUAUUCAACAGAAAUGUUAAUUUCUUUUUUAAAUCUUGUAAUUCAACCAUAAAUGAUGAGAUACCGAAAGGAUGCCCUCCAUUCAAUAACAUCAUGGAUUUAUUUAUUGGACAAUGUAAAUCAAUUUUAGUGGAAAGAGCAAAGUGAUUGAAAUAAACAGCUCCAAUUAUAAUUGUUUUUGAUAAUAAUCAUUGAAAUAAUUGUAAAUAUUGUCUAUAUUAGAAUAAUCUAUCAUGUAAUAAAUUCUGUCCCUCCUUUUUCAACAUGUUUCAAACAUCUUCAAUAAACAACUAGGGCUCUGAUUCUUUUGUGAUUUGUCGAUA